rnacentral:rRNA from 1 species
UGGGGAAUUUUGGACAAUGGGCGAAAGCCUGAUCCAGCAAUGCCGCGUGUGUGAAGAAGGCCUUCGGGUUGUAAAGCACUUUUGUCCGGAAAGAAAUCCUUGGCUCUAAUACAGUCGGGGGAUGACGGUACCGGAAGAAUAAGCACCGGCUAACUACGUGCCAGCAGCCGCGGUAAUACGUAGGGUGCAAGCGUUAAUCGGAAUUACUGGGCGUAAAGCGUGCGCAGGCGGUUUGCUAAGACCGAUGUGAAAUCCCCGGGCUCAACCUGGGAACUGCAUUGGUGACUGGCAGGCUAGAGUAUGGCAGAGGGGGGUAGAAUUCCACGUGUAGCAGUGAAAUGCGUAGAGAUGUGGAGGAAUACCGAUGGCGAAGGCAGCCCCCUGGGCCAAUACUGACGCUCAUGCACGAAAGCGUGGGGAGCAAACAGGAUUAGAUACCCUGGUAGUCCACGCCCUAAACGAUGUCAACUAGUUGUUGGGGACUCAUUUCCUUAGUAACGUAGCUAACGCGUGAAGUUGACCGCCUGGGGAGUACGGUCGCAAGAUUAAAACUUAAAUGAAUUGACGGGGUCAUAGCUG